GAUGAACGCUGGCGGCGUGCUUAACACAUGCAAGUCGAACGGAAAGGCCCAAGCUUGCUUGGGUGCUCGAGUGGCGAACGGGUGAGUAACACGUGGGUGAUCUGCCCUGCACUUUGGGAUAAGCCUGGGAAACUGGGUCUAAUACCGGAUAGGACCAUCGUUUAGUGUCGGUGGUGGAAAGUUUUUCGGUGUGGGAUGAGCUCGCGGCCUAUCAGCUUGUUGGUGGGGUAAUGGCCUACCAAGGCGUCGACGGGUAGCCGGCCUGAGAGGGUGUACGGCCACAUUGGGUCUGAGAUACGGCCCAGACUCCUACGGGAGGCAGCAGUGGGGAAUAUUGCACAAUGGGCGCAAGCCUGAUGCAGCGACGCCGCGUGGGGGAUGACGGCCUUCGGGUUGUAAACUCCUUUCGCCAAGGACGAAGCGUUUUGUGACGGUACUUGGAGAAGAAGCACCGGCUAACUACGUG
rnacentral:rRNA from 1 species